rnacentral:misc_RNA from 1 species
AAGAUAGCGUGGUCGAAACGGUGAGCAUUGCAUUGGAAAUAUUAUCUAUCACAAAAACCAUGCAAAAGCGUUGAGAAGAUCUCUGUUUCAAAUCACAAAUAUAUAAUUAUGUUGGAAGAAUCUAUGACUUGUUUUUUGUUGGAUUUUUAUAAUUAAAUUGACCCAAGUUUGAAAACUUUGGUUAUGUACUCUUGCAUUUGUAAAUGAGUAGUAAUUGUUAAUGAGUUGAUCAGUGCAUAUAGUUUUGUAAAAUAAUAGAUAGAUGGCAGAGUUGG